rnacentral:tRNA from 1 species
GGAGGUGUAUCGAAGUGGUCAUAACGGCCCCGACUCGAAAUCGGGUAAUCCCCUAACAGGGACCGUGGGUUCGAAUCCCACCGCCUCCG